rnacentral:rRNA from 1 species
UACGAAGGGGGCUAGCGUUGUUCGGAAUUACUGGGCGUAAAGCGCGCGCAGGCGGUCUUCCAAGUCAGUGGUGAAAGCCCGGAGCUCAACCCCGGAACUGCCAUUGAAACUGUAAGACUUGAGGAUGAGAGAGGUGAGUGGAAUUCCUAGUGUAGAGGUGAAAUGCGUAGAUAUGUGGAGGAAUACCGAUGGCGAAGGCAGCCCCCUGGGAUAACACUGACGCUCAUGCACGAAAGCGUGGGGAGCAAACAGG